rnacentral:lncRNA from 1 species
UGUAGUGUCUUGUGUAUCCCUGAUUGCCAAUGAUUCAUGUCCUGUCCUAGUCAUGCCAUUUUUCCCUCUGGUUGCUAAGCUGCAGUUGCAGAGUUCUGUUGGUGGCUGGUGAAGGAAGAUACCAAUAUUUUUGUCCUUUGUUGCUGGUGCAUGUGCUACCACCACUGUAGUACUGCAACAAUUUCAUUUUGUAUGUGGAGGAAAGAUCUCAUUGUCCUUUCCAUUGCAGACCAUAUUUGUAGCUUGUCAUCAUGAUCUUAUUUGUUCUAAGAAAUAUUCAUGGUUUAUGAAACAUCCUGAUGCUGAAUUAGAACAAGACC